AAUUUGAGCUUGUUUAGUAAGGAAGUAAUAAGGUUGGUGGUUUACCCAGGCCUAGGCUUGUCCAUUGCACCCUGGAUGUGCUGACCCCUGAGAUUUCCCCAAAUGUGGGAAACUCGAGUGCAUAAUCUGUAGUAGUGGGAGACUAGGUUGGUAUAUAGAGGCUCUCCUU